UGGAAUGUGACUCAGUGGCAGAGCAGAUGUGUAGUAUGCAUGAGUCCUGGGUUUGAUCCCCAGCACCCCAA
rnacentral:tRNA from 1 species